UACGUAGGCGGCAAGCGUUGUCCGGAAUCAUUGGGCGUAAAGAGCGUGUAGGCGGUCCGGUAAGUCGGCUGUGAAAGUCCAGGGCUCAACCCUGGGAUGCCGGUCGAUACUGCCGGACUAGAGUUCGGAAGAGGCGAGUGGAAUUCCCGGUGUAGCGGUGAAAUGCGUCAGAUAUCGGGAGGAACACCAGUGGCGAAGGCGACUACCUGGCCUGUUCUUGACGCUGAGGCGCGAAAGCUAGGG
rnacentral:rRNA from 1 species